AGCGAACGCUGGCGGCAGGCCUAACACAUGCAAGUCGAACGAACUCUUCGGAGUUAGUGGCGGACGGGUGAGUAACACGUGGGAACGUGCCUUUAGGCUCGGAAUAACUCAGUGUAACUUGUGCUAAUACCGAAUGUGCUCUUCGGGGGAAAGAUUUAUCGCCUUUGGAGCGGCCCGCGUCCGAUUAGCCAGUUGGUGAGGUAAAGGCUCAUCAGGGCGUCGAUCAGUAGCUGGUCUGAGAGGAUGAGCAGCCACAUUGGGUCUGGGCAACGGCCCAAACUCCUACGCAAGGCGGCAGUGGGGGAUCUUGCGAAAUGGGCGAAAGCCUGACGCAGCCCUGCCGCGUAAGUCAUGUAGGUCUGAGGAAAGUAAAAUUCUUUCACCGGGGGCGAUACUGACGGUACCCGAAGAAGAAGCCCCGGCUAACUUCGUG
rnacentral:rRNA from 1 species